rnacentral:rRNA from 1 species
AAAAAAAAAAAUUUGCAUAUCAAAUAGCGGAGCAAAAGAAACCAACAGGGAUUGCCUUAGUAACGGCGAGUGAAGCGGCAAAAGCUCAAAUUUGAAAUCUAGCACCUUCGGUGUUCGAGUUGUAAUUUGAAGAAGGUAACCUUGGGAUUGGCUCUUGUCUAUGUUUCUUGGAACAGAACGUCACAGAGGGUGAGAAUCCCGUGCGAUGAGAUGACCAAUUCUAUGUAAGGUGCUUUCGAAGAGUCGAGUUGUUUGGGAAUGCAGCUCUAAGUGGGUGGUAAAUUCCAUCUAAAGCUAAAUAUUGGCGAGAGACCGAUAGCGAACAAGUACAGUGAUGGAAAGAUGAAAAGAACUUUGAAAAGAGAGUGAAAAAGUACGUGAAAUUGUUGAAAGGGAAGGAUAUGAGAUCAGACUUGGUGUUUUGCAACCUUAUCUUCGGAUGGGGCCCCUGCAGUUCAUCGGGCCAGCAUCAGUUUGGAUGGUAGGAUAAUGACAUUGGAAUGUGACUUGGCUUCGGUUAAGUGUUAUAGCCCUUGUUGAUACUGCCUGUCUAGACUGAGGACUGCGUCUUGACUAGGAUGCUACAUAGUCU